AUGGCGAGCCUGAGCGUGCCUCCGGUGCUCAUGCCUCCGCGCGAUGACGCCGUCGCUCUCCACAAGGCCUUCAAAGAACGCUAUGCUGCUUUGGGUCCUCGACCCGUGGGGCGUGACACGACCAUACUCAACCAGGCCCUCAACGGCGACAUCACCGACCUGACAGCCGCCACGGAGGUAAUCUGCUCCAGGACGCCGUUGCAGCUGCAGAUCAUGAAGCAAACCUACCGCGCGAGGUUCGGUUGCUACCUUGAGCAUGACAUCACCGAACGCACCUACGGUGAUCAUCAGAAGCUUUUGCUUGCGUACCUGGGAGUCCCGCGCAACGAAGGCCCGGAAGUUGAUCCUUCGGCGGUGACAGACGACGCAAGGGACCUGUAUCACGAGAAGAGGGCGGGCACCGAUGAGCGGGCCUUCAUCCGCAUCUUCAGCGAACGCACCUGGGCGCACCUGGUGUCCGUGGCCAACGCUUACCAGCACAUGUACGCCCGGUCCCUGGAGAAGGCCGUGAAGAGUGAGACGACAGGGAACUUCCAGUUCGGGCUGCUGACCAUCCUCAGGUGCGCCGACACUCCGGCGAAGUACUUUGCCAAGGUCCUACACAAGGCGAUGAAAGGCCUGGGCACCAGCAACGCGGCGCUCAUACGGGCGGCGGUGACGAGGACCGAGGUCGACAUGAAGUACAUCAAGGCAGAGUACCAUAACAAGUACAAGGGGUCGCUGGCUGAAGCCAUCCACUCCGAGACGUCAGGGAACUACCGAACCUUCCUCCUCUCGCUCGUCGGCCGGGACUGCUAA
rnacentral:rRNA from 1 species